UACGUAGGGGGCAAGCGUUGUCCGGAUUUAUUGGGCGUAAAGAGCGUGUAGGCGGCCUGGAAGGUCAGCUGUGAAAACUCGAGGCUCAACCUCGAGACGUCGGUUGAAACCACCUGGCUAGAGUCCGGAAGAGGAGAGUGGAAUUCCCGGUGUAGCGGUGAAAUGCGCAGAUAUCGGGAAGAACACCCGUGGCGAAGGCGGCUCUCUGGGACGGUACUGACGCUGAGACG
rnacentral:rRNA from 1 species